CAUUGCGAAUAAACAUCGCCCCCCGCACUCGCUACUUGUAUUACGAAUUCACAAAGAAAAGUUAUCACUGCCCGAUUACAAAGUCAUAGGAAUAAAACCAAAUUCGUUGCAUGGAUACACAAGAUAGCAAAGAACAUAUCCUAGUUUAUAUGGGCUUCUCUAAACUGCUGUUUGCUAGCAAACAAAACAGAAGACGCGUGGCGAGCUUUUCGAACUUUUUACUUUCGAAUCAGGUAUUAAAAGAAAACUCCAAACUAAUGAAUAUCGCCGUAGCAACAUGGAGUAAAAAAAAACACAGUUUCCUGUGGCAAUGGAACGAGAAUUUAGGCAAAUUGCCUCAACGCUUUCAAGCAAACAGACGACACUUUCAUCAGCGAUGCUUUCCAAAGUUGAACCGAAAGGAAAACGGUUUUUGAAAGCCAUAUUUCACAGAACUUAAACCCGAUUUUGUGAAAAAGCGUGGGUGGACAAAAUAACUAAUCUUGAUAGUUUUACGUUGUCUUUUUCACGGAGUUAAAUAUGGUCGUUAGUCAUACUUUCUAAGAUGACGGGAUGUGACGUUGCGAAACAGAACGGAAAAGCGGUCAAAAAUCUAAUAACUUUUUGUUCAAAAACAAUGGAAUUUCUUUAAAUUUACUUAGAUUCGUCUGAUUAUAUUAGGAGCUUUUUGUUUAACUGUCUUUUUCAUUGAUCAUAAAAGCAAUGACCCUUUACCGUUAAGGAGUAGAGCAUCUCGUAUGGUGUAGAAGGGAAAUGUUUUUGACUUGAAUCUGGCAACAGACGUUCACAUAUUUAACACGAGUUUUAUACCAAGUUUGGUUUGAUAAAUCAAYGUGGGAUGCAACAAAUAGUAAAGAAUGUAUAUCGGAUGUACAUGUGGCGCUCACAAGAUCGCUUGAACAGACAUAUAAGGUAGGCAGCAAAAACGGGAAGACUCACGUUAGAACUCGUGUUUGAGGGCGACGUUUUCGACUGACGACUACAACAACAACAAAAACUUAAAAUAUCGAAUACAGUUCACAAAACUUUUUUAUAUUUUUGAUUUAGCGAGCAAAAGAAACCGUCUUAAUGUCGUAAACUAAAAAUUAAGGAAUAAAAACAUUUAGAAUUUGAGAAAAAAUGUAAAAGGAAGAAAGAGAAGUCGAUAGGCAUCCAUUACUGAACCUUGCCUGGUGUGUUUCGACAACUCGGUACAUACACUUCGUUGUACAUAUGUAUGAUUUUGUACAUCUCUUUUUUUUAAGAGUAGGUGAAUAGUAAAAACAUAAGUAUUUCUUAGCUUAAACAAGGUUCUCAGUCAGUCGUGUUUGUUCAGGGUUUUUUGUUUUUGUUUUUGUUUUUUGUUUUUUCAUUGAUUUCUGAGGAGUUGUGAGUAUCAUAAGCAGUUUCGUUUAUACAAUGAAACUUUAUUCAUCCACAAAUAUACAAUUUUAGCAUCCUCAGAGAAGUUUUUAAACAAUAUAUAGUUUACAACAACAUGACAACAUCAUAUUUCUAUAUUUUUUGGUGCCAAAGACAUUCAAAUCCAUCUCUAACUUCAGCAAUUAUCAAAGACGUUUAGGAGAUUGUUGAACGAUAAUGGAUGAAGACUUCAAGAGCUUCAUCGAACAACAAAAUUUAGUUUGAUUCAAUCACGAUUUUAUAGUCAAAGAACUAAUGGGGUCAGUGAGCCUAUAAAAGGUUCAAAGCUACAAGACUUUGAAAAGGAAAUUCUGCAUCGUUCAGGAGCACUUCACCAUAUUGUACAGGAAUUAAAUAUAUAACUAUGAGAUAGACAAAUUUGGCACAAUACUUCUUUAAACUGGAAAACAUUCCUUAAGCUAGUGGGUUUUUCAAUAGAAAUUACAAUUAUCUGAAGUCUUGCUCUGUGCAGGAGAUGAUGACAGAAGACCUGAACAGUGCUUUAAAUCGAAUAAAGAAAACGAAAAAUGAAAUUUGACAGAAUACCGAUUAUGGGAACGUUCAUUAGUGCUUUUUGAUAGAAAUUACACUGAAUGUAAUGAGAAGUAUGUGCAGCUCGUCUCUCUUUAGGACGAAUCCUUGAACAACACUUUAAAUGAAAUAAAGAAAGCAAGAAUAGUCCUAUGGCAUAGCAUUGUAAUCUAAAGGAAAUUAGAGUCAGGCGUUUUGCUCCAAGUUCACUAGGUGGCCUUCCUGACAGACUUUCAAUGUCUUUAACAAAAGGGAAACUUGCUCUCUGCAAGAAGGGCAUUGAAUACAUGGUCCUAUGGCAUAGCAUUAUGAUCUAAAGGAAAUUAGUGUCAGGCGUUUUGCUCCAAGUUCACUAGGUGGCCUUCCUGACAGGCUUUCACUGUCUUUAACAAAAAGGAAACUUGCUCUCUGCAUGAAGGGCAUUGAAUACAAACUCUCGUCUGUCAAACAACAGAUAGCUCAAGGUAGAAAGCUCUAAAAAUAUCUUUAAUUCUGUGAUUGACGGAUGUUAUGUGCUGCUCGAAGAAAAAAACUUCCCUGCUAAAUGUGUGGUCAAGACUUUUGCUAUUAACGUACCAUAAUGAAAAGAUUAAUGUACCAUAAUGAAAAGAUCAUGUACUUAAAACUUGAGCAAUUGAAGUCGUUAUUUUUAAAAUCAACAUAUGAAGAUUCAUUUUAUAGGAUUUCUAUUAAUAAUAUUGCUGAGUAGCUGAGUUUAGUCAACACAAUGAGCGCUGUUUGCGGAUGACUCUUUGUCCAGCAAAUUAUAAAGGUUUUUCUUUAAUUAUAUCAGUUAAUUCCUGGAAGUGAAUCGAUAGAAAAGAGUAAAUAAAUCCUGCAGAAUUCUUCAA